rnacentral:sRNA from 1 species
GCGCGUGUUUGCAUGAGUGUGUUGCAUGACUAUCCAAAGUAUUUGCGUUCCUUGAAGAAGUGAUGGGGAUCUAGGACAGAGCAGUGGAUAACACACUGUGAAUUCGAUGUUACUCUCUGGUGAACCAUGAGGAUAACUGUGUUGUGAUAUUUUCAUGGUGCAGAGUUAUCUUCUCUUUUUGAUUAUUUCUCUGUAUGCGGUCAGAUCAGCUUCGCACAGACUCAAAUCAAGCAAUCAGGCCACUGGUCAGUUGUUGGUUUGUUCCAGACAUAGCACGUGGCGUGUAGAAACGGCGAAGGGCGUCCUGCAGACGAUCGUUUGAUGAGCACAGGUGUUGUGAGGGCGCCUACUGCCCAGCAGGUAGAGCUGCCCCCUGUCACUAUCUCCACCUCAGUCAAGCUGUCUACCAAUGCUCA